UGGAUACAGCAGGCCUGUCACCUGACACUUCACUGUCACAUGACAUCAUGCACCUGCCAUGUUUGAAGGAUGGAGUGUAGGAUUCUUUUCCCAGUUUCAUGAAAGAGUCAAUCUAAUGUAGGUGAAUUAAAUUUUCCUACAAACCGCCUUCACUCUUUACUCUUAUUCGGGAUUGUGCACUUCAGCACUGGAUCUGUUGGGAGGUCUCCCCCAAUCUCACUUUCUUUUACAGCCCUUCUUCUCCAUCCUUUCUCCAUGUAGUGCUCAUAUUGGUUUUCCUCUUUCGUUCUCUCUCUGGAACUCUCUCGUCUUUUCCCAAACGGGAUUAUUUACUUCAGAUUCCAGCUGAAUUUCUUCAUUCGCCGCAGGACUGCCUGGAGCCACAUAACAAUCAAAGCAGGAUCAUCCUCUCCUCACAACCCCCAGAGAGAUACAGAGAGAAUAUGGAGAGAUGGAUCUAAGGUCAUAGCUCUGCUGUUCUUUAGCUCCAUGGGAAUAAAGGUCAUGAACAG